GAAAGCCCACGGCUUAACCGUGGAGGGUCAUUGGAAACUGGUUGACUUGAGUGCAGAAGAGGGAAGUGGAAUUCCAUGUGUAGCGGUGAAAUGCGUAGAGAUAUGGAGGAACACCAGUGGCGAAGGCGGCUCUCUGGUCUGUAACUGACGCUGAGGCUCGAAAGCGUGGGGAGCAAACAGG
rnacentral:rRNA from 1 species